ACGAACGCUGGCGGCGUGCUUAACACAUGCAAGUCGAACGGAAAGGCCCUGCUUUUGUGGGGUGCUCGAGUGGCGAACGGGUGAGUAACACGUGAGUAACCUGCCCUUGACUUUGGGAUAACUUCAGGAAACUGGGGCUAAUACCGGAUAGGAGCUCCUGCUGCAUGGUGGGGGUUGGAAAGUUUCGGCGGUUGGGGAUGGACUCGCGGCUUAUCAGCUUGUUGGUGGGGUAGUGGCUUACCAAGGCUUUGACGGGUAGCCGGCCUGAGAGGGUGACCGGCCACAUUGGGACUGAGAUACGGACCAGACUCCUACGGGAGGCAGCAGUGGGGAAUAUUGCACAAUGGGCGGAAGCCUGAUGAAGCAACGCCGCGUGCGGGAUGACGGCCUUAGGGUUGUAAACCGCUUUCGGCUGUGACGAAGCGUGAGUGACGGUAAUGGGUAAAGAAGCACCGGCUAUCUACGUG
rnacentral:rRNA from 1 species